UCUUACCUUUUUCAUUUCCUCGUACAUCAUGAACAGAAUAUUGAAGUCAUGUCUGUGCUCGUACCAGCCUCUGACGUGAUCAAACCAAAGGCCUCCCACCACUGUGAGAAAAAUGAGUAAGUGACAAGGAAAGCAGUCAUGAAAAAAAUAAGAAGCCCAAAGAACUAAUUUUGAAGAUUAAAGAGAGAGGGAGAGGGAGGGAGAAAGAGAGGGGGGGAAGCAUGGAUGUGAGAGGGAAACACCGAUUAGUUGCCUCUCUCAUGCUCCCUGACCAAACCAGGGCCCAAAGCCGCAGUUCAGGCUCAUGCUCCGAACAGGAAUCAAACUGGUGAGCUCUUCUGAUUGCAAGACGACACCCAACCAACUGAGCCACACCGGAUCAGGUCGAUCUUUCCAUUGCUUUGAAAUAUAGAUGAAAUGAGGAUAGCUAAUAAAAUUAAAAUACUGGUUCAGGGAAAGGCAGAUGAUUUAAAUAAACUGAUUGAGAGAAUGAAAAUGUGGAACCGUAAAGCUGAAAGGAUCGGAUAUAGUAAUAAUGGACUUUAACCAAAUCUUUCAAAACUUCAGUUCAUUUCUAUUUUUAAACUACAUAACAGAAAAAGCUUCAACAUUUAUUUUGUAACACUAGAAAUACAGUGAUACUAAUAUCAAAUAAAGAUAGAAUAAUCAUAGAAAAUUAGAGUCUAUUUUAAAAUAUUUAUGGACAAAAAUUCCUGAGUAAAAAUUACCAUAUUUUGCCAUUUACAAUGCACACCUUUUUGUCCAAAUUUUUUAGGGAAAAAUAAGAAUGUGCCUUAUACAUGGGUAUGAUGACUACAUACCAUGGGUAUAAUAAUCCUGCGAAUAACACACACAAAAACACAGGUGUGCGUUAUACAUGGGAGUGCAUUAACCAUUCCAGCUGUAUGUUAAAUUAGGUAUCAUACUUCAAGCAAGCAGGACUUAUCUCCAAAAUAGAACAUUAUUAAAAUAUUAGUUGAUUUCAUUUCACUGUAGAUUAAAGGAGGAGGGGAGGACAUGGCAUUUUCAGAGUUGUCAGACAAGUCACUAUAUGUGAUUAGAACAUUUUUGAAUAAAGAAAAAAUGAAAAAGAAAAGUAAAACUCCAAGCAAACAAAGAAUAGAAAAAAAAUUUUUUUUCAUUAUGUGCCUUGCAUAUCAAAACCAAGAAAAGAUACUAAAAAUCGUUAGAGAAUCAAGGACCAAGAAGAAUGUUCAUCAUCACCUCUAUUCUAUUUUUCUUCAGGUUCUAACUAUGAAAAUAGAAAAAAACUGUAAAUAUUGGAAAGUGAGGAAAAAUAAAAUGUAUUAUUUUAAGAUCUAAUAUAUUCCAGAGCAUAAGGAGAAAGUUGAUAAAACUAACAAAAUUGAUUAAGGGAGACAUAUAUAUUAAAGCAACAACACCAAUGUUUUAUCUUUAUAACAGUAAUAACUAAAUAGAAAAGACAAUACUGAAAAAAUUUCCACUUCAUAAUACCCAUAAAAAAGUAAACAAAAAGCUGGAAAUUCAGGGAUGUAUUGUAAGAAACGUACAAACGAACAACACAGUACAUUUGGUAAACAUGUAAGUAGGCCUGGUGAAGAGAGUAAUACAAGGGUGCUGAAGGAAUUUUGAAUAGUGCUUUUCUAAUGAUUGUGCCAGAAUUAAUUUAGAUGUAUUUAAUCAACUACAAUCAACAUCUAAAAAUCACUGGACAAAUUAAGAUAUCAAAAAAUAAAGCUGAUGGGAAUUUACCUUAUCAGUUACAAUAUUUAACAGAGUGAAAAACUGCCACAUAUUAAUUUUUGGAAAAAAGAAUACAGAAUCAGAUGAAAGGACUAUAGCACCUUCGAAUAUCAAAAUGCAGACUUAAAGACAGUAGAGGAAGAGUACAUGCUUAACAAGUCAUAUUGGGUCAAUUGGCUAACUAAAUCAUUAAAAAGAAUAGAAUUUAAUGUGUUGUCUCAAAAGUAUUUUUGCUGUAUGCUUUAUAAUCACAGUGCAAGCAAUGUAUAUGAUGACUCAAUUUACAUAUAUACUUAUAAUUCAAUAUAUAUUUUAAUGUAUAAAACAAUACAGAAGGUGGAUGAGUAGGGCUGGGAAAAAUAUUUGAAGAAAGUAUUUUUGUUUGUACCAAAGGUUCAUAAGCUAUUUAUAUG